UGACAUGAGUAGCGAUAAAGGGUGUGAAAAGCACCCUCGCCGUAAGCCCAAGGUUUCCUGCGCAACGUUCAUCGGCGCAGGGUGAGUCGGCCCCUAAGGCGAGGCAGAAAUGCGUAGUCGAUGGGAAACAGGUCAAUAUUCCUGUACCGCUCUAUGAUGCGAUGGGGGGACGGAGAAGGUUAGCUCGGCCAUCUGUUGGAAUAGGUGGUUCAAGUGUGUAGGCGUGCUGCGUAGGCAAAUCCGCGCGGCUUAGCUGAGGCAUGAUAACGAGGCUCUUCGGAGCCGAAGCGAGUAAUACCCAGCUUCCAGGAAAAGCCUCUAAGCUUCAGUCAUAGAGUGACCGUACCGCAAACCGACACAGGUGGGCUGGUAGAGAAUACCAAGGCGCUUGAGAGAACUCAGGAGAAGGAACUCGGCAGAUUGAUACCGUAACUUCGGGAGAAGGUAUGCCCCUGGUACGUGAAGGCCCUUGCGGCCGGAGCGGAACGGGGUCGCAGAGAAUCGGUGGCUGCGACUGUUUAUUAAAAACACAGCACUCUGCAAACACGAAAGUGGACGUAUAGGGUGUGACGCCUGCCCGGUGCCGGAAGGUUAAGUGAUGGGGUGCAAGCUCUUGAUCGAAGCCCCGGUAAACGGCGGCCGUAACAAUAACGGUCCUAAGGUAGCGAAAUUCCUUGUCGGGUAAGUUCCGACCUGCACGAAUGGCGUAACGAUGGCCACACUGUCUCCUCCUGAGACUCAGCGAAGUUGAAAUGUUUGUGAAGAUGCAAUCUCCCCGCGGCUAGACGGAAAGACCCCAUGAACCUUUACUGUAGCUUUGCAUUGGACUUUGACGGGACUUGUGUAGGAUAGGUGGGAGGCUUUGAAGCCGGGACGCUAGUUCCGGUGGAGCCAUCCUUGAAAUACCACCCUGGUGUCGUCGAGGUUCUAACCCAGGCCUGUGAAUCCAGGUCGGGGACCGUGCAUGGUGGGCAGUUUGACUGGGGCGGUCUCCUCCCAAAAGGUAACGGAGGAGUGCGAAGGUCACCUAGGUACGGUCGGACAUCGUACUGAUAGUGCAAUGGCAAAGGUGGCUUGACUGCGAGACCCACAAGUCGAGCAGGUGCGAAAGCAGGUCAUAGUGAUCCGGUGGUUCUGUAUGGAAGGGCCAUCGCUCAACGGAUAAAAGGUACUCUGGGGAUAACAGGCUGAUUCCGCCCAAGAGUUCACAUCGACGGCGGAGUUUGGCACCUCGAUGUCGGCCCAUCACAUCCUGGGGCUGUAGCCGGUCCCAAGGGUAUGGCUGUUCGCCAUUUAAAGUGGUACGUGAGCUGGGUUUAAAACGUCGUGAGACAGUUUGGUCCCUAUCUGCCGUGGGCGCUGGAAGUUUGAGAGGGCCUGCUCCUAGUACGAGAGGACCGGAGUGGACGCACCCCUGGUGUACCGGUUGUGACGCCAGUCGCAUCGCCGGGUAGCUAUGUGCGGAAGAGAUAACCGCUGAAAGCAUCUAAGCGGGAAACUCGCCUCAAGAUGAGACUUCCCCGGGGCCUCGAGCCCCCUGAAGGGUCGUUGAAGACCACAACGUUGAUAGGUCGGGUGUGUAAGCGUGGCAACACGUUCAGCUAACCGAUACUAAUUGCCCGUGUGGCUUGAUC
rnacentral:rRNA from 1 species